UGACAUUGCUCGAUAGACCGACGGUCCC
rnacentral:sRNA from 1 species